UACGUAGGGGGCAAGCGUUGUCCGGAAUCAUUGGGCGUAAAGAGCGCGUAGGCGGUCCAGUAAGUCCGCUCUGAAAGUCCGGGGCUCAACCCCGGGAGGCGGGCGGAUACUGUCGGGCUAGAGUCCGGAAGAGGCGAGUGGAAUUCCUGGUGUAGCGGUGAAAUGCGUAGAGAUCCGGAAGAACACCGGAGGCGAAGGCGGCUUGCUGGGCGUGAUCUGACGCUGAGGCGCGAAAGCGUGGGGAGCGAACAGG
rnacentral:rRNA from 1 species